rnacentral:misc_RNA from 1 species
UCUCCGUUGGUGAACCAGCGGAGGGAUCAUUAUCGAGUUUAUAACUCCCAAACCCUAUGUGAACUUACCACUUGUUGCUUCGGCGCGCGCUUCGGUGCCGCCGAGGACACUUAAACUCUUUGUUUUUAUAAGCAUUUCUGAGUGGCCGAAAGGCAAAAUACAAAUGAAUCAAAACUUUCAACAACGGAUCUCUUGGUUCUGGCAUCGAUGAGAACGCAGC